UACGUAGGGUGCAAGCGUUGUCCGGAGUUACUGGGCGUAAAGGGCGCGUAGGCGGCGCACCAAGUCAGGCGUGAAAGCCCUGGGCUCAACCCGGGAAUUGCGCUUGAGACUGGUGUGCUUGAGUACGGGAGAGGAUAGUGGAAUUCCCAGUGUAGAGGUGAAAUUCGUAGAUAUUGGGAAGAACACCGGUGGCGAAGGCGGGUCUCUGGGCCGAUACUGACGCUGAGGAGCGAAAGCGUGGGGAGCGAACAGG
rnacentral:rRNA from 1 species